UAUCUCUGUAGAGUCUGCAUAUCAAUAAGCGGAGGAAAAGAAACUAACAAGGAUUCCCCUUAGUAACGGCGAGUGAAGCGGGAAGAGCUCAAAUUUGAAAUCUUCAAGGUUUUACCUUGACGAAUUGUAGUUUAAAGAAGUGUUUUCGGUUAGAGGAGUUUAGGUAAAAGUUCUUUGGAAUAGGACAUCAUAGAGGGUGAGAAUCCCGUAUUUGACCAUUAUUUUCCAGCUGUGUGAUACACUUUCAAAGAGUCGGAUUGUUUGGGAAUGCAGUCCAAAAUGGGUGGUAAAUUUCAUCUAAAGCUAAAUAUUGGCGAGAGACCGAUAGCGAACAAGUACCGUGAGGGAAAGAUGAAAAGAACUUUGAAAAGAGAGUUAAACAGUACGUGAAAUUGUCAAAAGGGAAGCGUUUGACACCAGUGUUGUUUUCUCGAAAAUCAAUUAAAAAAGGCCGGAUUUUGUGUUGUAUUGACCUUAAAAGCUUUCUUCACUCUUUUCUUGUCUUUUUUAAUGCACUUUUCGUUUAACAAGUCAACAUCAGUUUCUUUUGUUGUAAAAGGGUCAUUGGAAGGUGGCUUUCUUUUCGGAGAAAGUGUUUAUAGCCUUUGAUCUCUGCAACCGGAGAGACUGAGGUCUGCAGCGUAGACUCUUCGGGGUUAGAUACAUUUGUGCUAAGCUAUAGCUUUUUAUAGACAACUUGUUGACUAUAUUUAGUCUUGUGGCUUACUCGCUUAUGCUAUUUUACCUACGCUUAGGAUGUUG
rnacentral:rRNA from 1 species